rnacentral:rRNA from 1 species
GCAUUUUAGUUUGCUUGCAACUAAAGAUGGCGACCGGCGCACGGGUGAGUAACACGUAUCCUUCCUGCCGAUAACUCAGGGAUAGCCUUUCGAAAGAAAGAUUAAUACCUGAUGGCAUAGGAUUAUCGCAUGAUAAUCCUAUUAAAGAAUUUCGGUUAUCGAUGGGGAUGCGUUCCAUUAGUUUGUUGGCGGGGUAACGGCCCACCAAGACUGCGAUGGAUAGGGGUUCUGAGAGGAAGGUCCCCCACAUUGGAACUGAGACACGGUCCAAACUCCUACGGGAGGCAGCAGUGAGGAAUAUUGGUCAAUGGACGAGAGUCUGAACCAGCCAAGUAGCGUGAAGGAUGACUGCCCUAUGGGUUGUAAACUUCUUUUAUACGGGAAUAAAGUUGUCCACGUGUGGAUUUUUGUAUGUACCGUAUGAAUAAGGAUCGGCUAACUCCGUGCCAGCAGCCGCGGUAAUACGGAGGAUCCGAGCGUUAUCCGGAUUUAUUGGGUUUAAAGGGAGCGUAGGUGGAUUGUUAAGUCAGUUGUGAAAGUUUGCGGCUCAACCGUAAAAUUGCAGUUGAUACUGGCAGUCUUGAGUACAGUAGAGGUGGGCGGAAUUCGUGGUGUAGCGGUGAAAUGCUUAGAUAUCACGAAGAACUCCGAUUG